UGCAACUCUUGAGAUCAUGCUUGAGUUAGUUUCUUGGAAGACUGUCACUGAUGUUACCAAGGACAAGAAGGUUUUGAGGAAGACCCUGAAGGAAGGGGAAGGAUAUGAACGACCAAAUGAUGGAACAGUUGUUCAAGUCAAACUGAUUGGGAAGCUACAUGAUGGGACCGUUUUUGUGAAGAAAGGUCAUGAUGAGGAGCCACCAUUUGAGUUCAAGAUAGAUGAAGAACAAGUUAUUGAUGGACUUGAUAAAGCUGUGAAGAACAUGAAGAAAGGGGAAGUUGCAUUAAUAACAAUUCAGCCAGAAUAUGCAUUUGGUUCAUUUGAAUCACAGCAAGAAUUGGCUACUAUUCCUGCUAAUUCAACUGUAUACUAUGAAGUUGAGAUGAUCACCAAGGAAAAAGAAUCAUGGGAGAUGAACACACAAGAAAAGAUUGAAGCAGCAGGGAAGAAGAAGGAAGAGGGGAACGUACUAUUCAAAGCUGGCAAGUAUGAAAGAGCCUCAAGGAGAUACGAGAAGGCUGUGAACUUCAUUGAGUAUGACUCCUCUUUCAGUGAAGAAGAGAAGCAGCAGACUAGAGCACUUAAAAUUACUUGCAAACUUAACAAUGCAGCGUGCAAGCUAAAGCUCAAAGAUUACAAGCAGGCCGAGAAGCUGUGCACCAAGGUGUUGGAACUUGACAGUAGGAAUGUGAAAGCCUUGUAUAGGAGGGCACAGGCAUAUAUACAACUUGUUGAUUUGGACUUGGCGGAGAUAGACAUCAAGAAAGCGCUUGAAAUUGAUCCUGACAAUCGGGAUGUGAAGUUGGAAUACAAAAUUUUGAAGGAAAAAGUGAGAGAAUACAACAAGAAGGAUGCGCAAUUUUAUAGCAACAUAUUUGCAAAGAUGAACAAGAAUGCAUCAGCUAAGCAGGACCCUAUGCCAAUGGCCAUAGAUAGCAAGGCAUAAUAGCAAGUUAGAUUCACAGCUCUCUCUCUCUCUCUCUCUCUCU
rnacentral:misc_RNA from 1 species